rnacentral:lncRNA from 1 species
GUCAGAGGCAGAGGGAGAACCAGACAGCUCGGGGCAGCCCUGGGCCCUGCCGCUGCCUCUCGCCCCUGGGUCUGGGACAACAGCACUCUCUGGAUGUGCAUCUGGCAGGAGCUAGAGGCCGGAGGGCAGACCCUGGGAGGGGAUGCAGGGAGGCUCAGAGGUGGCCUCAGAGGUGCUCAGAGACGGCCACGCCCUCGGCCACAUCCUCUAGGGAGAGUGGAGUCGGGCUGAGGAGUAACCCCCGCUGAGCAACUCGGAGCCUGUGCCUCGUCACACGCUCUGUGUCUCUCUGUCCCGCUGCCUCUGAGGACUGGGGCUGUGCUGGCGCCCAUGGGACCAGGUCCAGGCAAGUGAGCCCCCCAGACCUCCUGCUUCCACCCAACCAGCCUUCUGUCCUGGGGGAGGGGGGCACAGCGGGUGGGGCUGAUGGUGACCAGGCUGGGAGGGCCCUGGGGAGACAGGCCGAAGGAGAAGGGCACCCUGACACUCCAGGUCUGAUUCCUUUCCAGGGGUCCUUCCCAAACCCUCCAUCCGGGCUGACCUGGGACCCACUGUCCCAAGGGGAGCCCUGUGACCCUCUGGUGUCAGGGGUCCCCACAGGCUGAUGUCUACCGUCUGUAUAAAGUGGGGGACUCUGGACUCUGGGAGGAUGAAGCCACACAGGACUCCAGGAACACAGCCCGGUUCCACUUUGAAUCCUUGAGCUCCCGCCAUGCAGGGCGGUACCAGUUUACUUAUCAGAGCAGGAACAGCUCGUCCAGGCGGAGUGACCCCCUGGCCCUCGUGGUGACAGGUAAGAGGGAGGACCCGGGUCCCUCCCACCCUGGGCUCCUCCUCACAGGCAGGGCGAGCAGACUAUGGGCUCAGGGGGCCUGUCCCCUCACAGCACACAGCUGGGGAGUGGGGUGAAGGCCCCCCUUUAACACCAUCCCUCCUGCCCCCUCAGGACUGUACACAGCACCCUCCCUCUCAGCCCACCCGAGCCCCAUGGUGGCAUCAGGAGGGAACGUGUCCCUCUCCUGUAGCUCACAGUUCUGGUCAGGCAUACUACACCUGCUGAAGGAGGGAGGCGCUGACGCACCCUGACGUAGCGGGUGGAGGAAAUUCGGGAACUCGGGAGGGAGGCAGACCCUCUUCCCUGUGGGCCCCGUGAACGCCUCCCACGGGGGCACCUACAGAUGCUAUGAUUCCCCCAGCUCCCAUC